GCAUGGGUGGCUCAGUCGGUUAAGGGUCUGACUUCAACUCAGGUCAUGAUCUCACAGUUUGUGGGUUCGAGCCCCACAUCGGGCU
rfam:Felis catus isolate Cinnamon breed Abyssinian chromosome X, whole genome shotgun sequence.